UUUUCUCUACGUGAAUAUCUCCACUGUUUCCCUCUGCAGUGUUACGGCGGUAAAAGCUCCUCACUCCCCCCACAAAUCCAACGGUUCCCCCCCGCUCCGUUCCCGCACUUGGUACGGUCCGAACUGCCUCGCACGAAGGGGCGGCAAUGGCAAGAGUCCCGUGUCUCGCUCUGAUUGGCCCGCCCGCGCGGAGCUCAGCCUAUCAGAAAUGCCUUCUCUUUCCCUCUUGCUUUUGAUUGGUUGUCACCACCCUCACGUCCCGCCUUCACACGUUUGACAGACUGCAAAGCGUGAAGCAGAGGGGUAGAGCAGGUGGCUUCACCUUUUCGCGCUUUUGAUUGGUCGGUGGGGCGGGCAAGCGGCCAAUAGAAGGUGGUGCUCACUGAGGGGGCGGGGCUAACUUUCGUCCCGCCCAUCGCGCUGAGGAGGAGGGCGGGGGAGGGAAAAAGGCGGGAAGGGCGGCUGGGGGGUUGUGUGCUGCUCUGAGGAAAAUUGUUUUUUUCUCCGUUUUCUGAGGGAAGAAAUGGGGCGUCACGAGCUCCUGCACCCAACAGAUGGCAUCUAUCAGAGCCCUUUGGACCCCUCCGAGAUUUAAGUGUCUGAAAGCAGACUUUAUCCCUUCGGAAGCACAGAUCUCAGCUCCACCUUCACAGCACUUUGGAUCCUUUCACUUUUCACUACAAAUAUGUACAUGAAUCUUAUCUUUUUCACCUUAAAUGUCCUCCUCAGGUGCAUUUUGAGGGGUUUUAGGGGUUUUUAAUGGGUGUUGAGCUCGUUAGGGCUGAUUGAGGUGGGGGGAGUGUCUAUUGUUGGUGGGGGUACAGAUGGUGGUAAAAAGUUUUGGGGCAAAAUGGGGGGAAAUGGGGUAAA